ACAUGGCAUCGCUCUAAUAUCUACUGUUUGUACAUUUGAUUAUGCUUUUGAAGCCUAUGAUGCUUCCCAAGUAGGUUCACUCUCUUUGGAACUCUUUGUUCGGGUGCACUGUGUUCUGUGAUUUGCCUAGUGUCUUUGUGUGUUGGUGCGGUACACAUGACAUUUGCUGCUUUUGAUGCACGUCCAACAAGCUUUACCUAUUCUUCCAUUUUAUAACAAAACUUGGGUUGGGGGGGGAUACAGAAAGGAAGAA